rnacentral:rRNA from 1 species
GAUGAACGCUGGCGGCGUGCUUAACACAUGCAAGUCGAACGGAAAGGCCCAAGCUUGCUUGGGUACUCGAGUGGCGAACGGGUGAGUAACACGUGGGUGACCUGCCCUGCACUUCGGGAUAAGCCUGGGAAACUGGGUCUAAUACCGGACAGGACCACAUUUUGGAUGGUGUGGUGGAAAGUUUUUCGGUGUGGGAUGAGCUCGCGGCCUAUCAGCUUGUUGGUGGGGUAAUGGCCUACCAGGGAGUCGACGGGUAGCCGGCCUGUGAGGGUGUACGGCCACAUUGGGUCUUAGAUACGGCCCAGGCGCCUACUGGAGGCAGCAGUGGGGAAUAUUGCACAAUGGGCGCCAGGCUGAUGCAGCGACGCCGCGGGGGGUAUGGCGGCCUUCGUGUUGGAAACUCCUUUCGCUAGGGACGAAGCGUUAUGUGACGGUACCUGGAGAAGAAGCACCGGCUAACUACGUG